ensembl:lncRNA novel transcript
GUUAAACAAGUUUCCUUUUCAUUGUUUUUUGCUAUUUUACCCAGCCCUUAAAAUCUCAACUAUCAUUGCGGUUAGCACAUUUACCAGAGAAGCACUGAUCAGGACAAAAGAAGUGCAGAACUUUUCUUUAUAUUUAUUUACUUCAACAGCCAUUAUAUCAGCACAUUAUGUAUAGACCAGUCAUGGCUUCCUGUACAUCUGUGUCACUAUGGAUGAUUGCCCUUCUUGUGUUUGGAGUGUUGGCAAUCUUUGGAAUAACUAUUGGUCUCCUUGUUCAUUUUCUGGCAGUAGCAAACAGGAUCUACUUCUACCAAGGUAGCUUUAAAAUGCUGGAUAUCCCAUAUAAUAGCAAUUAUGAAAGGGAGACAUCACCAGAAAAUAACUAUCUUAGCCAAAUUCUUGAGACUAGAUGGUUGAUGCAUUUCAAAGUUCUAGCAUUUACAGACAAUAUAUCUUUUCUCAAGUCAUCACACUGGUGUAAGUAACCAACAUUAACCAUCAAAAAAGAGAUCAACUGAUCAUACAUACCAGGACACUUCAAAUUUCUCUGUGAAAAGAAUCUAUUGAUAUGUUAUAGUCCUUAGCCAAUAAGCUAUGAAUAUCAAGCAUUAUCAUAAAUGUCAGACUAAUUUUUCAAUAUGAAACCUAAGAUUGGGGCCAUAUAGUUGAGUUCACUAGAUGUAUUGAGGAUACAUUAAUCCUCAAAUUAUAAAUGUGUCAUCCUUUUGGUUUCCUAAAUAUUUAUGUUCAGAAAACAUUAGAUAGUCCCAUAGACCAAUGUUUGAUGCUCUAAAAUUUUUAUUUAGCAGUAGCAUAAAUAUAGAUCCUGUUUUCUCCUGUCUUUUGACUUGCAAGUCAGCUAAACACUUUGUGGAAAUACCCCUAGAAUUCUUAGUAGAUACAGGUUAGGAGACAGCAUAUUUACACUAGACUUUGAGAUCAAGAAAACCUUCUAGUCACCAUAAUAAGAAGUAAAAUAGCUAUGCUGUGUUCCCUACAUGUGGGUUUGGAGUGGCAUGAACUAGCCGAGGUAACCAUAGAAUAGAUUUAGACAACCUGAGCCUAGCCUUUGCCAUUUAAUAGCCCUAGAGUCUUUGGCAAGUUACUGUAUCGCUUUGAAUCUGUUCCACUAUCUCAUUACAUGUUAGUAGUAAUACUUGCUUUGCCUCACUCACAGAACAGUACUAAGGAUAAAAAAGAAAAGAAAAUAUGUGUGGAAACACUCACAAAUAAACACAUUUCAGAUGAAGGCAAUUAUUGCUUUUAUUUCCAUCAGUGUCGCAGGACUAUGUCUGCUCUUCUUCCCUGCUCAUGGGACUCCUGGAAUUGUAGAACAGAUUAAGCUCUCAACUAGCAUUAACAUUGGAGGUCAAUUUUGGUAUUGAACAUAAAUGUGAGAUUAAAGUUGAAGGGCCCAGAUAUCUCUCAGAGAUGACUGCAACCACGGGAGAUGUCUCUGUUUUGUUUUCCCAUGCAUGUAAAUUCAAGUAUCUAUAAACAGCAUGGGCCAAAAGGCAGUCAUGAAGAGGUCACAGGACAAAGCUUUUCACUUUAGCAUACACUGCUAUAAUAAUCAAACUUAUGUGACCUGAGUGCUUCCCAGGAAUUAUUAUUGAUUUAUGUGCCAAAAUAUUGAACAUCCCUGAGGAAGCCUCAAAGCAUAAUAAUGUUACUUCAGACACAAGCUUCAGGACUCCUUAACAAUUCCUGCGUGUCUAAUUGGCUAGCUCCUCAGGCUGACUGCCCUUUUCCUGUUUCCAGACAAAUCUUCCCUAAAACUCAUGGUCAGAUUAAUUUUCCUCAAAUACAGUUUACCUCAACAACUUUCCAUCACUGCUACCCCUCAGCUAGCAUUAAAGAUCCUCUUCUGGUUGAGCCCAAUCUCCUAGACACUGCCAUUACUGUAUGACUAGGCACAGAGUGACAGUGUACAGCAUACAGACAGCUCUGUAAAGAGCCCAGGUUAUGCAGUCAACUGCACUAAAUCUAAAUCCUAGUGUAGUGUGUACUUACUCUUGAAUACAUUAUAUAACUUCCCAGAGCCUCAAUUUUUCCUUGUCUAUAAAAUGAAGAUAACACCUAUGCUGCAGGAUUGUUGUGGAGACUGUGCUAAUAAAUGUGAUAGCAAAGUACAUUGGCUACGUAAUACAAAGUACAUUGGAAUAUAGCAGAUGCCCAAUCCAUGCUAAUUAAUAUUAUUGCCAUCAAUUAUUCUGAAGAAAUAUUCCUUCUCAUCUCUGCUUUAUGCAAUUUUCUGCUUGAUAAUGAAGCAGAAACAAAAAUACAUUAAGUUUCAUUGUGUAUGUCACUUCCUCCAUGCAAAUUUCUCUGAUCUUUUAUGUAAAAAAUGACUUGACCUUCCUGGGAAUAUCUCCAGAUAAGAUAAAUAAAUUAUUGCUUCCACCUCAUUUAUUUUAGUAAUUUGUAUAUAUGUUUUAUCUUCCCUAAAAAUCUACAAUUUCCUUGAGAGUAGAAAUUGUGUCUUAGUCACCCUUGCAUCACCUAAUAGCACCUAGCUCAGUUGCUUGUCUAUAGCAGUUGUUCAACAAAUGAUUGAUGAAUGUAUUAAUAAAUCAUCCCAAUUCUUAGGUGAUACCUUUACCCUAUGCCUCAGGCAACUCUUUUUUUUUCUUGAGACAGACUUUUGUUCAUGUUGCCCAGGCUGGUGUGCAGAGGUGCGGUCUCGACGCACUGCAACCUCCACCUCCCAGGUCCAAGCAAUUCUCCUUCCUCAGCCUCCCAAGUAGCUGGGAUUACAUGCACCCACCACCAUGCCUGGCUAAUUUUUUGUAUUUUUAGUAAAGAUGGGGUUUCACCUUGUUGGCCAGGCUGAUCUCAAACUCCCGACCUCAGGUGAUCUGCCCGCCUUGGCCUCCCAAUGUGUUGGGAUUACAGGCGUGAGCCACCACUCCCGGCCUCCCUUUUUUUAGAUUUGUGUAACUGCUUGUCCUCUAUAUUGAAUAAUACAGCUGCAUGCAUACUGUCACCAAGCAAAUAUAAGAGGAUGGAUGGUCCUGUGCUUAACCUAAAGGUACUCCACAAACCCACAAAAGAGCAGAAGAAACCAAGCUAUGAAAGAUCAGACAAAGAGGAAGAAAAUGCUGUUUUCAGCAACAUAUGAAAACUUUAUGUUGUUUCCAGUCCUGAUAACAACAGAGUGACAGCACAUAUAUGGCUGGUAUUCAAGGGUCCAAGAUCAAUG